rnacentral:tRNA from 1 species
GAGGGUAUAGCUCAGUGGUGUAGUGCAUGCCGCAUGCAUGAGGUGCUGGGUUCAAUUCCCAGUACCUCUA